ensembl:lncRNA
CUUAAUUCCUCUCACUAAAAGGAAAGAAAGUAAGGUGCUGUGCAAGCAUUCAGCAAUUUAUGCAAGACAUCUCUCGCAACCAUGGCAACCACCCUUUUGCCACACAUGACCUGCCCACUUGCGCGCGCACGUUUGAUUUGAGGAAUUCAAGAGGCACGGAUCCUAGGAAUACCAAAACAAUGGCAGAGAAACAGCAAGCAAAAUUCAUAGUACCGGCCUAUGCAGUUACUGAAGGCAAACCAGGCAAAAAAAGGAAGACAGUAACAGUACAAGAAAAGGCAAUGAACAAAAAGUCUUUGGAUAAACAAAGAAAUAAAAUUCGAGUUAAUAUCGGCGUGGCUUUCCAGCGAUGGCGAGAACUGAGGGAACUCAAGGGGCUGAAAAGUGACUCCUUGAUGGCUUUAUUUCUGCUGGACAGUUAUGAGAAAGACAUAUCAACGUCCACACCAUCGAAAAGUGGAUUUACAAUGGCACCACCACCUGUAUCCACUAUUGUCUCGGAGUCGCUUUCUGACCGAGAUGAUGACUUCUCAGUCCCUGGAGUUGAAGAGUUGGAUAGUAGCAGCGUACAGGAUAAAAACAUUCAUGAAUUAGAUGCAAGGUAUUGAUUAGUGAGACAUUUGUAUACAUUUCACAAUCCUCUCCAGGGUGCGGUUAUCCCUAUUGCUUGUACACUUUUUUCUACCACAUCUUUUCCUUCCCUUCGCCUCUCUAUUAAUGUGCUUGGACACAGAGCUCUGUGAACAGCCAGCCUCUUUUGCAAUGACCUUUUGUGUCUUGCCUUGUUGUUUUAUCUUAUUCUAUUACUUUUUUUUUAUUGUGUUUAUCUUUUUAUCCUAUUGUGUCUUUUAUUGUUGUUGUGUACAGCACUUUGGAAACCUUGUGUUAUUUAAAUUGUGCUAUAUAAAUAAAGCGGAUUGGAUUGGAUUGGAUUGCCCUCCU